GACGGGGGGUCCUAGCGUUGUUCGGAAUCAUUGGGCGUAAAGCGUGUGCAGGCGGCUUUGAAAGUUGGAUGUGAAAGCCCCGAGCUUAACUCGGGAAGUGCAUUCAAAACUCCAAAGCUUGAGUAUGGAAGAGGGUCGUGGAAUUCCAGGUGUAGUGGUGAAAUACGUAGAUAUCUGGAGGAACACCGGCGGCGAAGGCGGCGACCUGGUCCAAUACUGACGCUCAUACACGAAAGCGUGGGGAUCAAAC
rnacentral:rRNA from 1 species